GACGAACGCUGGCGGCGUGCUUAACACAUGCCAGUCGAACGGAAAGGCCCUGCUUUUGUGGGGUGCUCGAGUGGCGAACGGGUGAGUAACACGUUAGUAACCUGCCCUUGACUUUGGGAUAACUUCAGGAAACUGGGGCUAAUACCGGAUAGGAGCUCCUGCUGCAUGGUGGGGGUUGGAAAGUUUCGGCGGUUGGGGAUGGACUCGCGGCUUAUCAGCUUGUUGGUGGGGUAGUGGCUUACCAAGGCUUUGACGGGUAGCCGGCCUGAGAGGGUGACCGGCCACAUUGGGACUGAGAUACGGCCCAGACUCCUACGGGAGGCAGCAGUGGGGAAUAUUGCACAAUGGGCGGAAGCCUGAUGCAGCAACGCCGCGUGCGGGAUGACGGCCUUCGGGUUGUAAACCGCUUUCGCCUGUGACGAAGCGUGAGUGACGGUAAUGGGUAAAGAAGCACCGGCUAACUACGUG
rnacentral:rRNA from 1 species